CUUGUACACGCCGCCCGUCACACCAUGGGAGCGGGUUCUGCCAGAAGUAGUUAGCCUAACCGCAAGGAGGGCGAUUACCACGGCAGGGUUCGUGACUGGGGUG
rnacentral:rRNA from 1 species